GUUAGGAAUAUUGGACAAUGGGCGCAAGCCUGAUCCAGCCAUGCCGCGUGCAGGAUGAAGGCCUUCGGGUUGUAAACUGCUUUUGUACGGAACGAAAAGCCCUGGGUUAAUACCCUGGGGUCAUGACGGUACCGUAAGAAUAAGCACCGGCUAACUACGUGCCAGCAGCCGCGGUAAUACGUAGGGUGCGAGCGUUAAUCGGAAUUACUGGGCGUAAGCGUGCGCAGGCGGUUUUGUAAGACAGAGGUGAAAUCCCCGGGCUCAACCUGGGAACUGCCUUUGUGACUGCAAGGCUAGAGUACGGCAGAGGGGGAUGGAAUUCCGCGUGUAGCAGUGAAAUGCGUAGAUAUGCGGAGGAACACCGAUGGCGAAGGCAAUCCCCUGGGCCUGUACUGACGCUCAUGCACGAAAGCGUGGGGAGCAAACAGGAUUAGAAACCCCGGUAGUCC
rnacentral:rRNA from 1 species